rnacentral:rRNA from 1 species
CAGUAGCCACGGUAAAACAGAGGGUGCAAGCGUUAAUCGGAAUUACUGGGCGUAAAGCGCGCGUAGGUGGUUUGUUAAGUUGGAUGUGAAAGCCCCGGGCUCAACCUGGGAACUGCAUCCAAAACUGGCAAGCUAGAGUACGGUAGAGGGUGGUGGAAUUUCCUGUGUAGCGGUGAAAUGCGUAGAUAUAGGAAGGAACACCAGUGGCGAAGGCGACCACCUGGACUGAUACUGACACUGAGGUGCGAAAGCGUGGGGAGCAAACAGGAUUAGAUACCCCCGUAGUCCCUGUCUCUUAUAC